rnacentral:pre_miRNA from 1 species
GGGGGGAGCACAGGAUCCUGCCUGUGUCCCCGGCGCCCUGGGCUCCGGGGCCUGCCCUGCUAGAAUCGCGCUCCGGGCCACGCAGCCCCCU